rnacentral:antisense_RNA from 1 species
UUUGUGUGAGCAACAAGGCUGUUUAUUCACUUGAGUGCAAGUGGGCUGAGUCUGAAAACAGAGUCAGUGAAGGGAGAUGGGGAAGGGGUUGCUUUAUAGGAGUUGGGUAGGUAAUGGAAAAUUACAGUAAAAAGUGGUUAUCUAUUGUUAGCAGAGGAGGGGGUCACAAGGUACAUGGUGGGGAGAUGAUAAGACCCAUUGUCCAGAAGAAGACUGUCACAAGGUCGAUUGAUCAGUUAAGGUAGGACAGGGACAGGUCACAAUGGUGGAAUGUUGUAAUGUUGGUUAAUCAGUUAAGGCAGGAACUGGCUGUUUUACUUCUUGUGUGGUUUUUCAGCUGCCCCAGACUUCUUGGCUCCUGCAGGCCAUCUGGACAUAUAUGUGCAGGUCACAGGGGUUACAAUGGCUGAGCUUCGGCUCAGAGGCCUGACACCUCUUACUUCUGAGGGAUUGCUCAAGGUAGAAGGUUAAUAAAUUCUUAAACUACCCCCCACUUUCACUACAGAGAUUAAGAGUACAGUUCUGUCCAAGGAUUUGAUCUGGCCCAACAAAGAGCCUUCUUCAGAAGUGGAUUAGUUUUGUCCUUUGGUGAGGCUUGUGAUGGGCCUUAUUUAUUCGUAUUGUAGGCCUCUUAUACUAUUCCAAAAACAAGACAAGGGAACUGAAACCACUUUGCAUAAUAAUGUCACCUAUUAUCUCCAGUGAGGCUAGUCUGGUCACCUCUGGAUCAAUAGUACUCUUUUUUUUUUUUUGAGAUGGAGUUUUGCUCUUCUUGCCCAGGCUGGAGUGCAAUGGCGCGAUCUUGGCUCACUGCAACCUCUGCCUCCCGGGUUUAAGUGAUUCUCCUGCCUCAGCCUCCCGAGUAUUUGGGAUUACAGGCGCCUGCCACCAUGCCCGGCUAAUUUUGCAUUUUUAGUAGAAACGGGGUUUCUCCAUGUUGGUCAGGUUGGUCUCUAACUCCUGACCUCAGGUGAUCCAUCCGCCUCAGCCUCCCAAAGUUCUGGGAUUACAGGCGUGAGCCACCACACCUGGCCAUAGUUGUCUUUCUUAUUGUGGAUUUAAUCUGCAUUGUCCCUAAGAACUCAGAAUUACUGUUGAUGCUUCAAAAGGGUGUGUGUGUGUGUGUGUGUGUUCAGUUAAUCCAGAAAUUCCUCCCAGGAAAAUAGAAGACCCCAGGAGGAGUGGGGCAACAACUCUUUAUCUGCUACGGGCAGACAGAUCUUCAUGAAAACACACAUGAACCUCCAGAACUCGAUGUGCUCCACCAGCCGGCCUUAGCUUGUCAAAGCCAACCUUGGAAUUUCCUGCUGAAGCCCCCAUGGAAUAGCUCAGCUAGCAGGAACUGUAGAAUAGAGGAUCCUUACUUCAGUGCAUCUUGAUGUUCUGAGUGAAGGAACAGCACAGACCCUCUGGGAGACCAUCCCUGUGUGUUAGUGAGGUCUUGCAUUGUAAAGAUCUUGAAGAAAGGAGACUGUGUCUGUGAGUCCUCAACAAAGCAGACACCUGAUUGGAGUUAGGAGUCCAAAGGGUUUAUCCGAAGUGGCACUCACCUCUCAGUCCCAAGAGGGGAUGAAGCCUGUCACCCAUGGUGGGAACUGUAGAAAGUGAUGUCAGUUCUUGGGAACUGAGGCUGUGGUCCAGGUCAUAAUAAAAACAAGUAAAGGAAUGCCAAAAAUGGCCAUGCCAUUAAGCCUGUUUUACACAUAGUAGGCACACGUAGGGGUUAUAUAGAGAAAGAGCCAGAAUUCAAACCCGGGCAGUCUUAACUUCAGAGCUCAUACUGUCGACCUCUUCCCCUGCACAGGCCUUAGCAGUCUUUGUCUCUUUCUGCUCACAGGAUCGGCUUCGCCAUCGCCCGGCGUUUGGCCCAGGACGGGGCCCAUGUGGUCGUCAGCAGCCGGAAGCAGCAGAAUGUGGACCAGGCGGUGGCCACGCUGCAGGGGGAGGGGC